rnacentral:rRNA from 1 species
CAGUAGCCACGGUAAUACGAAGGGGGCUAGCGUUGUUCGGAUUACUGGGCGUAAAGGGCGCGUAGGCGGACUGAUAAGUCAGGGGUGAAAUCCCAAGGCUCAACCUUGGAACUGUCUUUGAUACUGUUUGUCUUGAAUUCGAGAGAGGUAAGUGGAACUGCGAGUGUAGAGGUGAAAUUCGUAGAUAUUCGCAAGAACACCAGUGGCGAAGGCGGCUUACUGGCUCGAAACUGACGCUGAGGCACGGAAGCGUGGGGAGCAAACAGGAUUAGAUACCCCAGUAGUCCCUGUCUCUUAUACA